rnacentral:rRNA from 1 species
GGGGAAUAUUGCACAAUGGGCGAAAGCCUGAUGCAGCAACGCCGCGUGAGCGAUGAAGGUUUUCGGAUCGUAAAGCUCUGUCGCAUGGGAAGAUAAUGACGGUACCAUGUGAGGAAGCCCCGGCUAACUACGUGCCAGCAGCCGCGGUAAUACGUAGGGGGCAAGCGUUAUCCGGAAUUACUGGGCGUAAAGGGUGCGUAGGUGGUCUGCCAAGUUAGAGGUCAAAGGCAACGGCUCAACCGUUGUUCGCCCCUAAAACUGGCGGACUUGAGUUCUGGAGGGGAAAGCGGAAUUCCUAGUGUAGCGGUGAAAUGCGUAGAUAUUAGGAGGAACACCAGUGGCGAAGGCGGCUUUCUGGACAGAUACUGACACUGAGGCACGAAAGCGUGGGUAGCAAAC